AACGAACGCUGGCGGCAGGCCUAACACAUGCAAGUCGAGCGAGCAUUUCGGUGCUAGCGGCGGACGGGUGAGUAACGCGUGGGAACGUGCCCUUUUCUGCGGAAUAGUCCUGGGAAACUGGGGGUAAUACCGCAUACGCCCUCUUGGGGAAAGAUUUAUCGGAGAAGGAUCGGCCCGCGUUGGAUUAGGUAGUUGGUGGGGUAAUGGCCCACCAAGCCGACGAUCCAUAGCUGGUUUGAGAGGAUGAUCAGCCACACUGGGAGUGAGACACGGCCCAGACUCCUACGGGAGGCAGCAGUGGGGAAUCUUAGACAAUGGGGGCAACGCUGAUCUAGCCAUGCCGCGUGAGUGAUGAAGGCCUUAGGGUUGUAAAGCUCUUUCAGCUGGGAAGAUAAUGACGGUACCAGCAGAAGAAGCCCCGGCUAACUCCGUG
rnacentral:rRNA from 1 species